GACGAACGCUGGCGGCGUGUUUAACACAUGCAAGUCGAACGGUGAAGCCCUUCGGGGUGGAUCAGUGGCGAACGGGUGAGUAACACGUGAGCAACCUGCCCCUGGCUCUGGGACAACCACUGGAAACGGUGGCUAAUACCGGAUACGACCCGCCUCGGCAUCGAGUGUGGGUGGAAAGUUUUUCGGCUGGGGAUGGGCUCGCGGCCUAUCAGCUUGUUGGUGAGGUGAAGGCUCACCAAGGCGACGACGGGUAGCCGGCCUGAGAGGGCGACCGGCCACACUGGGACUGAGACACGGCCCAGACUCCUACGGGAGGCAGCAGUGGGGAAUAUUGCACGAUGGGCGAAAGCCUGAUGCAGCGACGCCGCGUGAGGGAUGACGGCCUUCGGGUUGUAAACCUCUUUCAGCUCCGAAGAAGCGAAAGUGACGGUAGGAGCAGAAGAAGCACCGGCUAACUACGUG
rnacentral:rRNA from 1 species